rnacentral:rRNA from 1 species
AAACUUUACAAUGCGGGAAACCGUGAUAAGGGAACUCCGAGUGCCCGUAAACGCGGGCUGUCCAUCUGCUUAAAAAACAGGUGAAGAAAGGGCCGGGCAAGACCGGUGCCAGCCGCCGCGGUAAUACCGGCGGCUCGAGUGGUGGCCACUAUUACUGGGCUUAAAGCGUCCGUAGCUUGGUUGUUAAGUCUCUUGGGAAAUCUGUCGGCUUAACCGACAGGCGUUUAAGGGAUACUGGCAAUCUAGGGACCGGGAGAGGUGAGAGGUACUCCAGGGGUAGGAGUGAAAUCCUGUAAUCCUUGGGGGACCACCUGUGGCGUAGGCGUCUCACCAGAACGGCUCCGACAGUGAGGGACGAAAGCUGGGGGAGCAAACCGG